rnacentral:rRNA from 1 species
AGCUAAUACUUGCUUUAAUGCUCCCGACGUGUUACGUCUUGUGAGCAUGUACUUGUUAAGCCUUUAUAAGAAAAAAGUUAAUAACUUAAGGAAUGAUAACAAAGAGGUGACACAUAAAAAGGACUCGUCCCAUUUUCUAGUGUGUAUCAAUCGAGUUUCUGACCUACCAGCUUUUGAUGUUAG